rnacentral:rRNA from 1 species
UACGGAGGGUGCAAGCGUUAUCCGGAUUCACUGGGUUUAAAGGGUGCGUAGGCGGGUUGGUAAGUCCGUGGUGAAAUCUCCAAGCUUAACUUGGAAACUGCCGUGGAUACUAUCAAUCUUGAAUAUCGUGGAGGUAAGCGGAAUAUGUCAUGUAGCGGUGAAAAUGCUUAGAUAUGACAUAGAACACCAAUUGCGUAGGCAGCUUACUACACGAUCAUUGACGCUGAUGCACGAAAGCGUGGGGGAGCAAAACAGG